CGCACAAGAUACCAGAACUGGCUUGCGUUGUUACUGAGGCUUAGGCAAGAGCUUGGACCAACAAUAUCGUCUUGAUUUGUUGCUACAGAAUCGACUGAGCAACCUACUAGUACAAAAUCAAGGAAACGAUCCAACUGAACAGGGGCCAAGAACUUGGUGAUCAAGGAUUGUGUCAUGCCCAGAGCAUGACAGCUGCAUCCCAGGUGCGCCGCAAGAUGGAGGGUCGGUUGAAAGCCGAAAUGGGAACCGGAUCUCUGGCCCAUGGUGUUUGCUGCAUCGAUGUGAUGAACAAGUUUUGAGGAAGUAUUCUUCUUCCCAUGAUUUGGCAGCAUAGGAUGCAUAGUUUAGAAGCGAAAGCAGCAGUGCUGCGAGAAGAAAUUUAUGCAAAUCCAUGGAACGUACGUGGAGAUGGUGGUGGACGAAGAGAAGGUUUGCAAAUGGUUCAGAAAGAGCACCUGUUUGCUUUAACCUCUUGGGAGGACUGAUGCCGUGCUUGUCAUGUUAGCUGCGUGCUGCAAUUCCUGCUGCCAAUGGAACAACUGCCGUGUUCUAUUGUUUGGAUAGUAACGUGGUUUCAGGAAGCGAGUUGUAUAUUUUUUUUUGGCCACAUGACACCAAACUAUUCUUAUCAGUUGCCUUCUUGACUGACUUGUACAAGUCUAGCUACAUGGUACUUCUAUUUUUCGUUGGGAAAGCACUAUAUGAGAGCUUUGAAUUCUGAUAA